GGGGAAUAUUGCGCAAUGGGCGAAAGCCUGACGCAGCCAAUCCGCGUGGGUGAUGAAGGCCUUCGGGUUGUAAAGCCCUGUCGUGUGGGAAGAAUAAUGACGGUACCACACAAGAAAGCACCGGCUAACCCCGUGCCAGCAGCCGCGGUAAUACGGGGGGUGCAAGCGUUGCUCGGAAUCACUGGGCGUAAAGCGUCCGCAGGCUGAUUUGCAGGUCGGGUGUGAAAUCCCGGGGCUCAACCCCGGAACUGCAUCCGAAACCGCAUGUCUCGAGUACGGGAGAGGGAAGCGGAAUUCCUGGUGUAGAGGUGAAAUUCGUAGAUAUCAGGAGGAACACCGGUGGCGAAAGCGGCUUCCUGGCCCGAUACUGACGCUCAUGGACGAAAGCGUGGGGAGCAAAC
rnacentral:rRNA from 1 species